rnacentral:sRNA from 1 species
GUUUAAACUUGUAUCGGACUGCACUCAUUGAUAUGUGAGAAGUUUGUCCCUGUUCCUUAUUUUUUGAUAUUUUGAUUUAUAAAAAACAUUUCUAACAACGUGAUUAAUUGCUUCGAUAAUGUUCGACUUUGAAAAUUCUAUUUUCCAUUGAAUCUUGACGUAUGAUUGCUACAAAAAACUAAUGUUUAACGAAUUCAAAAUGUUAUUUAAUGGCAUAAACAAUGUUAUGUGAAUAGAAGUGCAAAUGGGCCACUUAUAUGUACUUAUACACCACUGAAUGCAAAAGCAAAAUUUCCUGCCUCUCACACAAUAAACGAUUGACGAGCCUGGAUGAAAAUAAAUUUGCCAAAAAAAAAAAAAACAUCGAGAAUGUGGAUUUUUUACGGCUUCAUAAAUUUCAUAAUCUUUAAAUAAAUUGAAUUGGGAGAGUGCAAAGCAGAUAAAUCGAGAAGGUGAAAAUAUAAAUGGAAUAAUUAUACAUGCGAAAUGCUCCCCAAAAUGGAGAAUGUGGUAGAAAUUAAAUGGAAACACAACUGCAUUCCUUCAUGUAGAUCAAUAUUUCGUGAUAUUAUAUACGAAAUGCUAAGGUUGGCAUAUAUUACGAAUUAUUUCAGUAUAAAAGUGGCGCCGGCGAUGAAAAAUGUAUGAGAAGAAAAGGAAGAUAAUACCCGAGAGAACAACGUACAGUCCAAUCCCUUCCCUAAUAUUCCGUCUACCUCCACAUAUUGCUAUUUUAAUGACUUUGGUUUAAAGCCUCAGUGACAGCAGUAAAGCCUCAGUGACCUCAUCUACAAGUCCGAUUUCAGCAAAUCUUUUAAUUGAAUAUACAAAUUUCCUAAUUA